UCACUCUGGAAGAAGAGCACGGGGAGAAGGGGGUAACUGAGGAAGCCUGCAAGAACCAGCACCGCAGCCCCUAGAGCGUCCUGGAGGGAUUCUCCCAUGGGAGUCACCUGCAACACAGAGGAGCUUUGUCUUGAGAUCAGAAACAAAUCUGCCAAAAAGCCAGGCAAGCUACUCCAGGGCCUGGGGUGACGUUUACCUGGAGGUUGUGCCUCCCUCACUGUCCAGGCCCUGAAGGCAUCACGGAAACUUGCCUGUUUGUGGUCACCAGGCACACAAGGUACAAGGAUGGGUGUUACAGUUCUGAGCCAGAAGAGCUGGAUUUCAGAGCACAUUUUUCCAAAAGUUUGGUAAACUUGCCCUUGGGGAGCAGCGGCCAGAGCUAAGGAGAGCUAACUUCCUUUCUACAGACGGUGUUUUAUUAAGUCCCGAACUCCCUUUCUUCCCUCUGUUUAUCACCUCCCGGGUCCCGGCGUCUUGAGAUCUGUCCAGGUUUUCUGCUUGUCUUUGUUUCUUUUUUCUUUUCUUCCUUUUUCUUUUUCUUUUUUUUAGUUCAGUGUCCAAAAUUCAACACUGCUGCUGGGUGAGUGGCCAGGGAAGGAGUCUGGCUCUUGCAUGUAUCCCUCUCUCCUGACUGCAGAUGCAGCAUGACUAUAGCCUCACAUUCCAGCUACCGUUGGACCCACCAUACCUUCAGUGACUGCUAAGCUAAGGAAAACUGAGAGCCUGCCUGCCUGCCUGCCUGCCUGCCUGCCUGCCUGGUGAAGUCAGGCUACCAGCCACAGGCUGCAUCAGCAGCACAAGACAGGCCCAGAGCUUCUGUUUCAGAAGCCUGGGCAGCCUUCUACCACAGACCACUAUCACCCCUGCCGUGCAGAAUCACCGACCUUUUAGACAGAGCUGGGCGGCUGUGGAAGGGAAUGAAGACACCGACCCUGACCACGAACUUUAUGAGACGGCAUGGCCAACAGUGGGAAGCGUGGAGGCAGGGGCAUCACACUGAAUGGAGGUCCUGGUGACGCCCUGGGUUAGUGCUAGUGAACACUGAUCAGAGUAAAGCAUACAUAUGGGAGGAUGCCACUUUAAACAUGGGAGCACGCAAGAAGUCUUCAGCAGCCCGAGGGAGGAGGAAUGCCCAGUUAAGGAGUGAUCAUUAGGCUGACAGGGAAAUGAGACUCCAUGGAUGUGAAUGACUGGAUGGGGUGGGAUGUCGUAAUUAACUGCACCACAUGAGGCCACCACAGGACAAGUUGACAGUGGACCAUGGGACGACGUGCAGAUCUCUACCUGCUCACACGCAGGUGCAGAUGGACCACGGGGACAAGAACUGCCCAACUGUGACAGUGAUUGUGGACCAGGGUCAGGGGUGAGUGGAGACAGGGAGCCAUCACAGGGCUACAUAGAGGCUACCACACUGGCUUCAGGGUGCAAAGUACACUUCCCAUAAGCACAGUUCAGAAGUUAAAUGCUAAAAGCAGUUCCUUGGAAGGGAAAAAUGUAACCAGAGCCCUAAGGGAGGUUUUUUAUUUUAUUCAAGGUACUACCAUGGUGUUUUAAAAAUCAGGCCUCAGAGGAUGUUGGCUUCGCCCUGGUACCACACACAUGUACAUACUCAAUUUGUUUCAGACCAUUUACUGGUUUCUUGGCCACCAUGAAGUAGGUAUAAUGUGAAACAAUGGAGGUUGAGAUCCCAGCACCAGGGAGAUGAAGGCAGGAGGACCAAGAGUUCAAGGUGAUUCUUGGCUAUGAGGCUACAACAAAGCAAGCUCAAGAUCGGCCCUGGGUAUAAGAAAUCCUGCUGUGAAAGCACACCAACAACAGAUGACCACAGUCCUGGGGUGCGGCAUGGAGGCCGCAUGGCAAGAUGGGAGUGCAGACUCACCCCCAGUCUCACUCCAGUGACACGCAUGACUGCUUGGCUUCAGGCCUCUAUAGGCAGAGAGACCCAAGGCUGUUGGGGACCCAGGAGGGAGCCUCAGGCUGGAACCCUAAACAGAUGGGGGUGGAUGCUUCCCUGCACAAGCUGGCUAGUGAGAUCUACCAGGGCCCCUCUGUGAGUGCUUACAGUACGGCUGUUAUGAAUACAAGGGCAAGCACCUUUGGUCCAUUAGUUCAAAGCUUGUCUUUUUGUGCUGUGUCUACAACAGCACAACGGUACCAAACAAGACAACACACACCAGAGACACCACAGUCAGGUUUGCUAGGGACUCAGAAACCGGCCCAAACGUAGAACCCAGUUUUGAGACCUCUGGCUUGUCUCAGACAGAACUCAUGCUGCUGUGUCCUGUCCACUCAAACCAUCACAUUCACACUAGGAAGCAGGUAUCGGCCCAGAUCACCUGGCAGUGUGCAGUACCAACCCACACGGCAGCAGCUCUGGCAGAGCGGGCAGCCUCGGCACUCAAACCGCGCACACUCCAUACUGGGAGACAGGUAGCCCAACAAAUGGGGAGAGACACAUGCCAGGUCCACCGAGUCCAGGACAAGAAGGGGCCAAUGGUAGGAACUGUGAAUCCUCAUCUAGUGAGUAUCACCACUUUGCCUGCUGAAAGAAAAAUAAUUGGUCUGAAAGCUGUAAUUGUCGUAUGUUUAAUAUUCAUGGAUGGGCCUGGAGGACAGCCCCAACACUCCCUCUCUGCAGCCCUUGCUAAUGAUAACCCAACCAUAGGAGGCGGCUUUAGCCCGCCAAUUAAAACAAAAGACACCAGAACCUUCCAAAGACUCCAGCAGAGGAGCAUCCAUCUGAUGGGCAGGAAAACGCGCUGGAACGGAGAGGGAGGCACGCUCUGGUUGGUCCUGUGCGAAGAGCUCUGAAUAACUCAUUAUAACCCUUGCAGAUGGAGUGAGCGCAAUGUUCGCGCCCUGCACGCUCCCUGGCAGCAGGCAGCACACAUGAGCACACCACAACUCUCUGUGUGCUGGGCUGGAAGGAAGCGAGGAGACUCUUUAAUUGGGGGUCACACCUUGGGGCGUGCUUCCUAUUGGUUUGGACUCAACAGUCCUGCAUGAUAACAAGGCAGACUGUGGAGGCAAAGCUGGCAGUGUUCAGACUUUGGGUUGGCUGUUCUUCAGGAAGAAUCUACACUUGGCUGCAUUUCUAUCUAGGAACUAAAGGUAAAUGUACGGAAAUUAUGACUACGUCAGUUGGGAAAACUGGUAUUUUGAAAGGGUUAGCACACACUUCUGUCUGGCCGUGCUGUACCUGAGCUAUAGAGGAGGCUGGACAUAAGUACAUGUGUAGAGCCCAUACCUCACCCAUAUAGCACCGAUAGCCUUCCGCGAAUGUCCAAGCUCAUAGCAACCGAACCCUUGUGUGUGCAGGCAGACAUGUUCAGCUCUGUCCAGCUGGGCUCAGCUUAGCAUGCUCUGUGCUGAGCAGCAACCCUGCCAUGUGAUCCCGAAGCUCUCAGCACCCAACUGCUCUGACUCAACUAAAGCCCAAACUCUGUGGCUCACGAAAAGCCAGCCUGGGACACUGUCUGAGACACUGCCUGGGACACUGUCUGGGACAGCCCUGCUGGCCACAGCAGCUGGAAGCACAGAGGCCGGAAGCUUGUCGUGUGUACACGCGUGAGGGCGAUGCCUGAAGCAGCCUGGUGACCUGACUUUCGUCCCUGGAAGCUCGGUGAGGGUGUAAGGAGAGAACCAACGCCACAGUUGUCCUCAGCCCUCCAAAUGCACACUGUGGCCCAUGCACCCCAUCAUCAUGUAUACACACAAUAUGUUUACAAAUACUAAAUUUAAAAUAUUACAGAUUGUUUGCAUA